UACGUAGGGGCAAGCGUUGGUCCGGAAUCAUUGGGCGGUAAAGCAGCGUGUAGGCGGCUCGGUAAGUCUGCUGUGAAAGUCCAGGGCUCAACCCUGGGAUGCCGGUGGAUACUGUCGAGCUCGAGUCCGGAAGAGGCGAGUGGAAUUCCUGGUGUAGCGGUGAAAUGCGCAGAUAUCAGGAGGAACACCAAUGGCGAAGGCAGCUCGCUGGGACGUGACUGACGCUGAGACGCGAAAGCGUGGGGAGCAAACAGG
rnacentral:rRNA from 1 species